AGCUAAUCACGCCUGGUAACAUUAAUUGUACACCUGAUAGAAUAUCCAAUGAAAAAAGAUAAUGAAAGAUACAACUUGCAGGAGUGAAGAAAAUGGUAGAAUCUAAGGCUAAUGAUUUACUAUUAUAAUUAUGGGACAAAUGAAUCUCAGUUUUGUAGAGUAGCAAUACCAAACUUAUCGAUAGUUUCACCAAUUAAAUAUCG
rnacentral:misc_RNA from 1 species